ensembl:lncRNA
GGGCAGAGCUGUUUCAGUGGGGAGGCAGGGAAGGAUGCUAGAUUAAGCAAAGAGUAAAUGUGUCCUGAAGCUGUGGAAUCAGUGAGUGUGAAGAGGUGUUUUGAGAAGCUUGAUAGAUUGAGGAGUGAAGGAAAAUGGCCCUCAUUUCUCUUUAAUUAUAGGGAAGAUCUGAAAAUGUUGCUAAACAAUGGAAAAGGGUUCAUUAAACAGGGAGACUUCAACUGUGUAAAAGAGAUGGGGCCACUGAGGGGUAAAGAAUGUCAAGAAGAGACAGAUGGGAGAAGGACAAAGAGUAGCUGAGAGGUUGAGCUUUGGAGCUGGACAUACUAAGAUCUGAAUCCCAGCUCUACCUUUUUCUAGCUGUGCAUCCUUGGGCAAAUUGCUUAACCUUUCUGGGCCAUUGCCUAGACUUUAAAAUGGGGUUAAUAAUGCUUGCCUCACAGAGUUGUUCUAAGAGCCAAAUAAAUAGAAUGCUAUGGAAUGUUCUCUCAUGCCUGACUCCUUGUGAUCCCAUGAACUGCAGGCUGCCAGGCUCCUCUGUCCAUGGAAUUUUUCCAGUGACUGUGGAGGUCAGGUAUUCAAGAUCACAGCAGCUCCUGAUGAAAGGAGCCUGGAUCCCUGAGUCAUCACCUGGAGGAGAGCCACCAGAAAAGCCUGUCCUUCUGCAUCAGACUAUGAGGGGGAAAUUCAGACAUACACAUGCACACAGGGAGAACACCCCAGGAAAAUGAAGGCGGAGAUCAGGGUGACGCUUCUACAAACAGAAAACUAUCAGAGAUUACCAGCAUACCACCGAAAGCUAGGAGCAACGCAUGGAACAGAGUUUCUCUCCCAGCCCUCAGAAAAAGCCAAUCCUGUCAACACUUCUGUCUUGGACUUCUAGCCUCCAGAACUAAGUAGAUAUUUUCCUGGGGCCUG